UACAGAGGGGGCAAGCGUUGUUCGGAAUUACUGGGCGUAAAGGGCGCGUAGGCGGCCUGCUAAGUCGAACGUGAAAUCCCUGGGCUCAACCCAGGAACUGCGUCCGAUACUGGUUGGCUUGAAUCCGGGAGAGGGACGUGGAAUUCCAGGUGUAGCGGUGAAAUGCGUAGAUAUCUGGAGGAACACCGGUGGCGAAGGCGACAUCCUGGACCGGUAUUGACGCUGAGGCGCGAAAGCCAGGGGAGCAAACAGG
rnacentral:rRNA from 1 species